rnacentral:rRNA from 1 species
AUCGAACGCUGGCGGCAGGCUUAACACAUGCAAGUCGAACGAGUGGCGCACGUGUGAGCAAUGUCGGUGAAACUGCCUGAUUGAGGGGGAUAACCAUUGGAAACGGUAGCUAAUACCGCAUACCAUCGGAUGUGUCCAGAUGGGAUGAGCUCGUUGGUUGGGUAAUGGCGCACCUAGGCGACGAUGCCUAGCUGGCCUGAGAGGAUGACCAGCACCACUGGAACUGAGACACGGUCCAGACUCCUACGGGAGGCAGCAGGGGGGAAUCUUCCACAAUGGGCGCAAGCCUGAUGCAGCCAUGCCGCGUGUAUGAAGAAGGCCUUCGGGUUGUAAAGUUCUUUCAGCGGGGAGGCGUUACCCGCAGAAGAAGCACCGGCUAACGCCGUGCCAGCAGCCGCGGUAAUAC